rnacentral:rRNA from 2 species
UGGGGAAUAUUGCGCAAUGGGGGAAACCCUGACGCAGCAACGCCGCGUGAAGGAUGAAGGUUUUCGGAUUGUAAACUUCUUUGAUGAGGGACGAACACAAUGACGGUACCUCAAAAACAAGCCACGGCUAACUACGUGCCAGCAGCCGCGGUAAUACGUAGGUGGCAAGCGUUGUCCGGAAUUACUGGGUGUAAAGGGCGUGUAGGCGGGAAGGCAAGUCAGAUGUGAAAUCCCAGGGCUUAACUCUGGAGCUGCAUCUGAAACUGUUUUUCUUGAGUACUGGAGAGGAAAGUGGAAUUCCUAGUGUAGCGGUGAAAUGCGUAGAUAUUAGGAGGAACACCAGUGGCGAAGGCGGCUUUCUGGACAGUAACUGACGCUGAGGCGCGAAAGCGUGGGGAGCGAACAGG